rnacentral:rRNA from 1 species
GACGAACGCUGGCGGCGUGCUUAACACAUGCAAGUCGAACGGAAAGGCCCUGCUUGCAGGGUGCUCGAGUGGCGAACGGGUGAGUAACACGUGGGUGAUCUGCCCCUUAUUUUGGGAUAAGCCUGGGAAACUGGGUCUAAUACUGGAUAGGACCAUGCUGUAGGUGGUGUGGUGGAAAGAUUAGUUUCGGUAAGGGAUGAGCUCGCGGCCUAUCAGCUUGUUGGUGGGGUAAUGGCCUACCAAGGCGUCGACGGGUAGCCGGCCUGAGAGGGUGGACGGCCACAUUGGGACUGAGAUACGGCCCAGACUCCUACGGGGGGCAGCAGUGGGGAAUAUUGCACAAUGGGCGCAAGCCUGAUGCAGCGACGCCGCGUGGGGGAUGACGGCCUUCGGGUUGUAAACUCCUUUCAGCCAUGACGAAGCCCUUGUGGUGACGGUAGUGGUAGAAGAAGCACCGGCUAACUACGUG